rnacentral:rRNA from 1 species
CCUACGGGAGGCAGCAGUGGGGAAUAUUGCACAAUGGGGGAAACCCUGGUGCAGCGACGCCGCGUGAAGGAAGAAGUAUCUCGGUAUGUAAACUUCUAUCAGCAGGGAAGAUAAUGACGGUACCUGACUAAGAAGCCCCGGCUAACUACGUGCCAGCAGCCGCGGUAAU